CAUGUAAAAGCACCAGGCAGGCCCCACAAAUAACCCAGAGAUGCAUUUUAAAUAAAAGGACACAUUCUACUCAUGUAAAAACACACUGAUUCCCGGACCGUCCACGGGCCCGAUUGAGAAGGUGAAUGGGCCGCAUCCAGCCCCCAGGCCUUAGAUUGCCUACCCCUGCCCCAAAGCUAAGCUCAUACUCGCCUCCCUUUUUGACAUGGGGAGCCUCCAACAAUGCAAGUGUUCAGCAGAUUUCAGGAGGUGCUAAAGGAGGGCUAUGCCACAGGAUUCUUCUGCCUUAUGAAGCAACAGCAUAGAUCCAUGACCAAUACUGGGAAAUGCUUUGGGGCUGUAUGUUGAGCAAUGGAACACAUCCAGGAAAAACCACAGGAUCUGUUUUCCUGGAGGCUUUUAAGAUGAGACAGGAUGAUCAUCUAUCAAAUAUUCCUAUAUUCUGGGAAUUAUCUGAUUGCAAGCAGUGAGAUCUCUCAAUGUGAUUCAGACCUGAAAGUCAUGAAACCUAAGAAACGAAGAGAAAUCAGUUAAAGACAGAAGCAGGAUGUUGUUAUCUGAUUGCAACCUGGGGGAAAACAACAACAACAACACCCCACUAUCAUCUCUGCAUUUAUAAAGAGGCAACUGGGUCUGAGAUUUGGGCGAGGAUUCUUUUCUAACUGAUAGACCUUCAGUCUAGAUCAAGAAACACUUAAAUGUACAAGAGACUGCAACACACAGAGUAGGGUGACAGGUUAGGAGCAGGGAGAACAAGUUAAAGCGCAGCGUUUUAUGCUAAACAACACAAUCCUAUGCACAUUUUCCUGGGAGUAAUAUACCAUGUGAAUUUAUCGGGGCUUGCUUGUGGGUCACAAUGCGCAGAAUCAGGUUGAAAAUGAAUUAACAUUUUAAAGCCAUUAUUGUAUUACUUUGCAUUUAACAGGGUGCUUUUUUAAAACAACAACAACAAUGUAAUAAUAUAUUCUUGACAAUUUUGAACAAAAUCCUUGAACAACAUAAAAUAUCAGCACACAGGAAGGCAGCACACAGCAGUGUUCUAUCUGACAAGGGUAAGAACAAGGAGGAAAAAAUAAAAAAACCAGAAGAAGAUGUCUGUCUAGCCUGAGCCAACUUGCUGGAAACACAUCUGGUUAAAAUUCAAGGUUUUAAAUCUGCAGUAAUAUUUUAGAAAUACAUUUGCAGCCUCAAGUGCUACCUUCAGCGUGGGAAGGAAACGGAAGGGCCUCAUUGUGGCUUUUCACUGCUAAGAAAUGGUUUGUGCUGAUAGAAUUAGCACUUA